GUUAAGAUCAAAGCAACGUGUAUCACGUUUGAAGAAAGGAAAGGGUGAGAUACCGAGCAAUGUCGCAACAAAAGAAAUUCCACCGUAUCCACCAUUCCCACCAGUAUCUUGGCCAAACUAUAUAAUAGACAAUAGAAAUUUUACUAUCGACGAUUAAGUAUAACAUCAAGCCUCAAAAGCCGAAUCAAAUCAAUUUAGCCGUAAUUGAAUUAGGAUAUAGUUUUGUAAAACCAAAGACUGAAGUGAAUCCAUAGAUUAGACACUGAACGUUCGUUUUUCCUCUUAAAAACCAAACAACCUAAUUAUAUAUAUAAACAAGAAACCAUCGUGUUCGUAAGUUCUGGUUAGCAGGUUGUUAACUAAAUUACCAGAAAAUGAAGUGAGUGAACAUAUCUGCUUUUAUUGAAACAACACACACAUAUUCGUUUAGGGAUGUUCCUGCAAAGCGGCUGUUGAAAACACGACUGCGGAACUUCAGACAAUUGAAACACAACACAGAAACAUUACAGAAAAAUCUACACGACAUAAAACUUGCUUGAAACGAUGGUUAUGAAACUGUUCGAAUAUUGUUUUUAUACAUUCAAUUGAUUGGUCAUGUACCGUUGUUAUAACGCUAAUUCUCAAACGCUGUACUGCCUAUUCUUUUGCUUUGGAAAUCCGAAUGUUAUUGAAAAUAACUUAACUCAAAAAUUUUAAUGGAAAGAAGAGUUCUUCGAGAAAAAAAAACUAGCUGUUUUGGCAUUAAACGCCAGAUAUCAUCGGAAUAAAACUGGAGGCCUAUCAGGUGAGAUACGUGUUUAAUCAGUCAUUAAAAAUAGCAAUCUUUCCGAAAUUGUGUGUAUACUUCCAUCUAUAAAUACAACAA